rnacentral:rRNA from 1 species
UACGUAGGGUGCAAGCGUUGUCCGGAAUUAUUGGGCGUAAAGAGCGUGUAGGCGGCCAGAUAGGUCAGCUGUGAAAACUCGGGGCUCAACCCUGAGACGUCGGUUGAAACCAUCUGGCUAGAGUCCGGAAGAGGAGUGUGGAAUUCCCGGUGUAGCGGUGAAAUGCGCAGAUAUCGGGAAGAACACCCGUGGCGAAGGCGGCACUCUGGGACGGUACUGACGCUGAGACGCGAAAGCGUGGGGAGCGAACAGG